rnacentral:rRNA from 1 species
UACGAAGGGGGCUAGCGUUGCUCGGAAUCACUGGGCGUAAAGGGUGCGUAGGCGGGUCUUUUAAGUCAGAGGUGAAAUCCUGGAGCUCAACUCCAGAACUGCCUUUGAUACUGAGGAUCUUGAGUUCGGGAGAGGUGAGUGGAACUGCGAGUGUAGAGGUGAAAUUCGUAGAUAUUCGCAAGAACACCAGUGGCGAAGGCGGCUCACUGGCCCGGUACUGACGCUGAGGUGCGAAAGCGUGGGGAGCAAACAGG